UUGUCUGCAGUUCCAAAGCAAUGCAUGAGAAACCAGGGCUCAUGCACAACCUGGACAAGCUGGAAUCCUGGCACAAGGAGAAGACCUUGGACUCUCCGAAUGGCAGCUUGAAUCUGGACAAUGCUGUAAAGAAUGAAGAACUCAAGAAAUGUCCCCAAGAAGUCACGGCUCCCAAUAAAUAUAAUUCUCAGUAUCACAAGUUAU